rnacentral:rRNA from 1 species
GACGAACGCUGGCGGCGUGCCUAAUACAUGCAAGUAGAACGCACAGUUUAUACCGUAGCUUGCUACACCAUAGACUGUGAGUUGCGAACGGGUGAGUAACGCGUAGGUAACCUGCCUGGCAGCGGGGGAUAACUAUUGGAAACGAUAGCUAAUACCGCAUAAUAUUAAUUAUUGCAUGAUAAUUAAUUGAAAGGUGCAAUUGCACCACUACCAGAUGGACCUGCGUUGUAUUAGCUAGUAGGUGAGGUAACGGCUCACCUAGGCGACGAUACAUAGCCGGCCUGAGAGGGUGGUCGGCCAAACUGGGACUGAGAAACGGCCCAGAAUCCUAAGGGAGGCAGCAGUAGGGAAUAUUCGGCAAUGGAGGAAAGUCUGAACGAGCAAAGCCGCGUGAGUGAAGAAGGUUUUCGGAUCGUAAAGCUCUGUUGUAAGAGAAGAACGGGUGUGAGAGUGGAAAGUUCACACUGUGACGGUAUCUUACCAGAAAGGGACGGCUAACUACGUG